UUCUCCUCUGCUCCUCUCAGAUCCCGGCUUUUCUCCCUGGUCCAGAUAAAGGCCCUGACUCUGGGCUCGCCCUGGUCUCGACUUCCCUUGACAUUGAUUUGGGGGGUCUUGGUUCUUUUAGGAUGGGGAGGGUACCGACAGGAAGGGUCUCGAGAGGGGCAGUCCCCACAGUCCCUUUGUCUCCGCAGACGUCCCUCCCCGCACUCGGUUGCCACCAAGUGUUCGAUGACCGGCACUGCACCUCCAGAGCCAUAACUUUCCUGCGCGCGCAGCCGGAGGCUCCGGACGCACAGCCACAGAUUCAGGGUCGCGGUGACUGCGGAGCCACCUCAAGGCAAGGCGGCGAGAGCCUGCAAGUUCCUGGGUCCUGCGGCCUCAAGGAAGAGCUGACCUCCCCGGAAUGGUCUCCGGGAGCGGAGAAUCCUCACCCCUCGCGUGGAAGCCCAGUCCUCCGAGCCCUGCACUGUGGGAGUUCCGUGAUCAGUUCCUUGAUCCGCCCGCCUCCAUGUCAGGCUUGGAGCAGCUUCGCGUUUGCUCCGGGCCUUCUCGGAGUAUUUGGAAGAAAAUCCCUCUCGGGGACAUUUAUCUGAGUCUUCUCCAGCCAGCUUGAGAAAGACUAGUUUUCCCGGGAAGAAACACGGUUCAUCCGAGCCGGGAGCCGGGAUUUCUCUUUUCCCUUUCUUUAUAGAAAAAAGGAACAUUUCGUAAACUUAUGCAAGGGAAAACGCCGGACUUCAGUUGGAUAUGACUUUAAAAGAGAUUUGAAGUACAAGGACUUCACAGGCCAUGAAGGGGGCCACCAGCCGGGAAAUGCUGACAUCCGCUAGAAACUGGGAAUGACUUCUAGCUGCGGGCCUGCAAGGAAACGGAGACCUCAGUCCUACAACUGCGUGGAACGGAAUCCUGUCCACAACCUGAACAAGUUUGGAAGCAAAUUCUCUCCUAGAGCCUCCAGUAAGGAACCUGGCCCUGCGACACCUUCUUGUUGGUCUGAUGAGACUGUUGGUUUGUUUUUUCUUGGAUAAGGAAGUGCCUUUUUGAUGGCAGAAUUUUUUUUCCCCAACACAGUCUCCUGAACCCAUGUGCUUCUUGAUCAGAGUUCUGGAAAUCCUGACUCAACUGAAUGCUAUGGUCUGAAGUUCCUUAAGCCAUGCCAUCAGAAGCCUGUACUCAAGAGGACCUGCUAUGAAAAGUACCUGCUUUUUCUAUGAAGCUUUGAGACAGUCCUUCUUUGUUGAAGAUAAGGCACUCUGGCCCGUAGCUGAUAGCAAGUGCUUUCAGGGAAGCAUCAAAGUAAAACAAAAUAACUAUAUAUGGAUGACAAAAGAUUUAAAAUAGCUGUGGUUAAUUUAUUACUAUAAUUUUCAAAAGUGAAGAUCUGCUCAGAGUUCAUAACAAGAAUAAUGCCACUAACAGAAUUUUGGCUGUUUCUGUAGCAUGCAAAACAAGAUAACAAAGACAAUCCAAAAUAAGUUUUAGACAAAAUAGCUAUAGACAUAAUGAUUAACCACAUUUUCAAAGGAGACAGUGAACACUGCAUCUAAUUUAUGAAAGUGGAUGAACAUAAUUUUUACAGAGAAAAAGUUUUGAGACUGAUGGGAUUUAGGGCAGGCUGCUCCAAGAUUUACUACUCUGGUAUGUGGAUUAUUUUGAGCUGAAGACAAUAAAGGCUCAGAAGAAUCAUGAAGGACAUUUGACCUUC